rnacentral:rRNA from 1 species
GUGAGGGCGGGCUACCAUGCAGUCGAACGGUAACAGAAAGCAGCUUGCUGCUUUGCUGACGAGUGGCGGACGGGUGAGUAAUGUCUGGGAAACUGCCUGAUGGAGGGGGAUAACUACUGGAAACGGUAGCUAAUACCGCAUAACGUCGCAAGACCAAAGAGGGGGACCUUAGGGCCUCUUGCCAUCGGAUGUGCCCAGAUGGGAUUAGCUAGUAGGUGGGGUAACGGCUCACCUAGGCGACGAUCCCUAGCUGGUCUGAGAGGAUGACCAGCCACACUGGAACUGAGACACGGUCCAGACUCCUACGGGAGGCAGCAGUGGGGAAUAUUGCACAAUGGGCGCAAGCCUGAUGCAGCCAUGCCGCGUGUAUGAAGAAGGCCUUCGGGUUGUAAAGUACUUUCAGCGGGGAGGAAGGGAGUAAAGUUAAUACCUUUGCUCAUUGACGUUACCCGCAGAAGAAGCACCGGCUAACUCCGUGCCAGCAGCCGCGGUAAUACGGAGGGUGCAAGCGUUAAUCGGAAUUACUGGGCGUAAAGCGCACGCAGGCGGUUUGUUAAGUCAGAUGUGAAAUCCCCGGGCUCAACCUGGGAACUGCAUCUG